rnacentral:rRNA from 1 species
GACAUAGGUGGCGAACGUUAUCCGGAAUUAUUGGGCGUAAAGGAUGCGUAGAUGGUAGAAUAAGUUAUUGGUCGAUGCCAAACUCAAUUUGGCGGAAGCUGGUAAUACUGUUCAGCUAGAGGGCAGGAGAGGUUGAUGGAAUUCUGUGUGGAGCGGUGAAAUGCGUUGAUCUGCAGAGGAACACCAAAAAAGGCGAAGGCAGUCAACUAUUCUGUUCCUGACAUUUGAGGCAU